UACGGAGGAUCCAAGCGUUAUCCGGAAUCAUUGGGUUUAAAGGGUCCGUAGGUGGACGAUUAAGUCAGGGGUGAAAUCUUGCAGCUCAACUGUAAAAUUGCCCUUGAUACUGGUUGUCUUGAAUCAUUGUGAAGUGGUUAGAAUAUGUAGUGUAGCGGUGAAAUGCAUAGAUAUUACAUAGAAUACCGAUUGCGAAGGCAGAUCACUAACGGUGCAUUGACACUGAUGGACGAAAGCGUGGGGAGCGAACAGG
rnacentral:rRNA from 1 species